UAUCAUGCAAGUCGAGCGAACAGAUGAGAAGCUUGCUUCUCUGAUGUUAGCGGCGGACGGGUGAGUAACACGUGGGUAACCUACCUAUAAGACUGGGAUAACUCCGGGAAACCGGGGCUAAUACCGGAUAAUAUUUUGAACCGCAUGGUUCAAUAGUGAAAGACGGUUUCGGCUGUCACUUAUAGAUGGACCCGCGCCGUAUUAGCUAGUUGGUAAGGUAACGGCUUACCAAGGCGACGAUACGUAGCCGACCUGAGAGGGUGAUCGGCCACACUGGAACUGAGACACGGUCCAGACUCCUACGGGAGGCAGCAGUAGGGAAUCUUCCGCAAUGGGCGAAAGCCUGACGGAGCAACGCCGCGUGAGUGAUGAAGGUCUUCGGAUCGUAAAACUCUGUUGUUAGGGAAGAACAAAUUUGUUAGUAACUGAACAAGUCUUGACGGUACCUAACCAGAAAGCCACGGCUAACUACGUGCCAGCAGCCGCGGUAAU
rnacentral:rRNA from 1 species